rnacentral:rRNA from 1 species
CUUGCCCAUAUAAGAGGUCCAGCCUGCCCAGUGACCUAGUUCAACGGCCGCGGUAUCCUAACCGUGCAAAGGUAGCGUAAUCACUUGUCUUCUAAAUAAAGACUAGUAUGAAAGGCACCACGAGAAAUAAACUGUCUCCCCCCUCUAAUCAGUGAACCUAAUCUCCCCGUGAAGAAGCGGGGGUGUUUUAAUAAGACGAGAAGACCCUAUGGAGCUUUAAACAUUACAACUACCUGCCCAGAUUUAACCUACUCAGGUACCACCACCCAUGCACAAUAGUUGUAUGUUUUUGGUUGGGGUGACCGCGGGGAAAAAGAAAUCCCCCGCGAUGAAGGGGGAGCCCCUCCCCCUACCGACAAGCCACAGCUUUAUGUAUCAACAAAUUGACACAAUUGACCCAAUAUAUUGAUUAACGAAC